rfam:Glycine max cultivar Williams 82 chromosome 12, whole genome shotgun sequence.
ACUGUUUCUUGGGAUUUGGGCUUUUCUUGUGCAGAUUAAGUAGAAGACAAAGAAGGCCUCCUUCUUGGGGGGCUAGAGCCAUUAGUGAGAUACCAUUCUGGAAGAACUAGAAUUCUAACAUUGUGUUAGGACCUAUAGUUUGAAGGGGACAAUCUCAGGUAUAUAGUUUCUAUGGGACAUAGGCCUCCCAAAAGGUAAUGGAGGUGUACAAAGGUUUCCUCAAAGCAAACGAAUAUUAGCCCUUGAUAAUUGCUAAAUAAGAACUAUUUUUUAUAAUAAAAAUAUAUUGAACAUAUCUUUAAAAAUAUUUAUUUAGUAGUUAUUUUUGGCUUAAAUGUUAGGAAUUG